ACGAACGCUGGCGGCGUGCUUAACACAUGCAAGUCGAACGGAAAGGCCCUGCUUGCAGGGUACUCGAGUGGCGAACGGGUGAGUAACACGUGGGUGAUCUGCCCUGCACUUCGGGAUAAGCCUGGGAAACUGGGUCUAAUACCGGAUAGGAGCCAUUUUUAGUGUGAUGGUUGGAGAGUUUUUUCGGUGUAGGAUGAGCUCGCGGCCUAUCAGCUUGUUGGUGGGGUAAUGGCCUACCAAGGCGGCGACGGGUAGCCGGCCUGAGAGGGUGGACGGCCACAUUGGGACUGAGAUACGGCCCAGACUCCUACGGGAGGCAGCAGUGGGGAAUAUUGCACAAUGGGCGCAAGCCUGAUGCAGCGACGCCGCGUGGGGGAUGACGGCCUUCGGGUUGUAAACUCCUUUCGCUAGGGACGAAGCUUUUUGUGACGGUACCUAGAUAAGAAGCACCGGCUAACUACGUG
rnacentral:rRNA from 1 species